CACAGCUGGCCAGCAGGCGGGGCCUCCGUGUCUGUGGCGGGGAUGUCACCUUUCUUCGCAGGAAGAAACACUCUGUCUUCCUGCUUUGAGGACAGCUGAAGUCUUGCCACUUCUUCUGGAUGCUCUGACCAUCAGUAAGAGACACGGUCUGACUUUGUUACCCCGGCUGGAGUGCAGUGGUGCAAUCAUGGCUCACUGCAGCCUUAACCUCCUGGGCUCAAGUGAUCCUCUCGCCAAGGCUAGGAUAAGUAGCUAGGACUACAGAUGCGCCCCAUCACGCCCAGCUAAUUUUACAACUUCUGUAGAGAUGGAGUGUUGCUGGGUUGCCCAGGCUGGUCUUGAAUUCCUGGGCUCAAGCGAUCCUCCUGUGUCCGGAAUUGGUGGGUUCUUGGUCUCACUGACUUCAAGAAUGAAGCCGCGGACCCUCGCGAGUCUGUAUCCACCAGCUACUCUUCCAGAUUCAUGAGGCAAGGCCUGCCUGCUCACCUGGCUGGCCCCAAGCACCUCUUCAACCUGUUGCCACCGUCCUGCCUUGCUGCCCUUCUCAGCUCAUCCAGCAGGGUCUCCAAGUCGUGGAAACAGAAGCACAUAUACACACAUGCUCAUAUGUACAUGCCCACAGUCACAUAAGCACACCGAGAAACACCAUCGCAGACAUGUUCUCACAAGCACAUGUGCAUAACACUCACUACCCCUCACGCGUAUACACAUUAAUACACACACUCAUGCACACUCAGUCUUACACACACAGACACACAGCCAUAAUCACUGUUGUUGGUUGAAUUGUGCCCCCCCAUCCCCACCAAAAAGAUAAGUUGGAGUCCUAACCCCCAGUACCUGGGGAUGUGACCGUAGUUGGAAAUAGGGUGUUUGUAGAUGUAAUCAAAUUAAGAUGAGAUCUUACUGGAUUAGAGUGGGCCUUAAAUCCAGUGACUGGUGUCCUUAUAAGGAGAAAAAGAUUUGAAAACAGAGACAUGGAGACACAGAGCAGAAGGCCAUGUGAUGAUGGAGUCAGAGAUUGGAGUGAUGCAGCUAUGAGCCGAGAAAUACCAAGGUGCUGGCAGCCCCCAGAAGCAAGGAGAGAGGCAAGGAACAAUCUCCAUCAGAGCCUCUGGAAGAAACAGACUCUGCCAACACCUUGAUUUCAGACUUUUGGCCUCCUUCACUGUGCGAGAAUACGUUUCUGUUGUUUUAAACUACUGAGUCACCAAGUCUGUGGUACUGUGUUAUGGCAGCCCCGGCAACAAAUCCAAUCACACACACACACACACACACACACACACACACACACACACACACACACACAGCUGGCUCCAGGCUCAGUGAUGAGCUCAGAGGAGUUCCCCUUGGGAGCUGCUCUUUCUCUGUCUUCCUUCCUUAGUGAUUGGUCCAGUGGAUCCACAAAAGCUCAUGGCCCAGAGCAGGAGCCCAGUCAUUUUUAAUUCCUCUUCCCUGGAGUUCUUAACCAUGCGUUGCCCUCAAAAUCUGCUCUCAAGAUUUGGGUUGCCAUAUUUAGGAGCACCAGAAAACAUACAGGAAUGCUGUGUCUGCUUGCAUCAUAUUAAUUAAAAACUGGAAAUAACCUAAAUGUCCCAGAAUAGGUACAUAAACUGUGGCAUAUCCACUUAAUGGAAUACUACUCAGCAAUACAAAAGGAAAACCUAGUGUUACUUGAGCAACAUGGAUGAACUUCACAGACAUAAUAUUGCACAGCACGAGGCAGACACAAAAGUGUGCAUAUGCUAUGAUUCCAUUUACAUGAGAUUCAAGAACAGGCAAAGCAGAUCUAUGGGGAUAGAAGUCAGAAUAGUGGUUACCUCUGGAAGGUGGAAUUGACUGGGAGGGGCUUCAGGGAACCUCCUGGGGUGCUGAAAACAUUCUGUGCUUGCACCGGGUGGUGGUUAUGUGGGCAUUACAUAAAAUUCACCAAGCUGCACCCUUAAUGAUUUGUACAAUUUGAUGCACAAAUCUAACAUCUCAAGAAGAAUAAAUUUUACAAAGUACCUAAGAAGCAAAAAAAAAAAAAAAAA
rnacentral:lncRNA from 1 species